GCCGCCGCCGCCUGCGUUCUUCCCCAUCCGCCGCCGCCGCCCCCAUCCUCCGCCCCCAGCUGCACCUAGCCGUCGCUCCUCCCGCACAGCCGCACUCGCACCGCCCCCUUCCUCUUCCUCUCGCCUCACCUCUCUCUCCUUCCAAACCACCUCCCGGCCUCGCCUCUUCCUUCCUUCUCCUCCGGCGCCUCCUCCCCGUUGGCUCCUUCUUGCCCCUCCUCCGCCGGUCCUCCUUCUCCUACGUCACCCGGAGGGGUGCAGCUGCCGCUUGCGUUGUAGCUCCCCCUACGAGCUCGCGCGCCUGAUCCGACGGCAGGAAGCCGCACAGCCUGGCGACCAGGAGCUCCCCGGCGUGGUUCCCUGGAUGGAGGGAUGCUUCCUCCGUCACUGCCUUCUCCAUGCCGAUGCCAUCAGUAGCGGCGGCGGUCGGGCUGAUGCGACGCGGCUGCAAGCUCAUCGUGAGAGCAACGGCAACGACGAGCUCACCACUCCUUCUUGCUGCGCCUGCUAGACCUCCAGGACAACUUGGAACAACUUGUGUGUCCCUCUCAGAUUCCUACAGAAGAAAGGAUACAUUUUCUUUUCUAUUGGAUGGACAACAACAUAACCACAACAAUAGGUCUAUCAGAAGAAGCAGGAGCGAAGCAAAGGCAGGAUUCCAUGAUGAGUUUGGAGUUUACCCUCUGUUCUUGGAAAUUGAAAUUGUCUCUCAUGCGAGCGGCGACCUUUUCUUAGCCAUGCUUAAAUUGAAAGAUGUAGUAGCUGAACAAGACUAGGAUCAUGUUUACGAUGCAUUUUCCAUCGAUACAGAGUGGCAUGCCGCUCCAAGCCACUCCGCUUUCCAUCAACGCUGACAACCACAGCAGGGGUGGAUCCAGCCGACAAGAGGCAGAGCGGCGGUCAACGGUGGUGGCCUGCUCCCAAGCUGCAGUGCUUUGGAGAAGAUGAACAUGAGGCCCCAACCUGCACUGGCAUAGCUAGGCAGGGGAGUAUCCUUCCACUUGACAUUUCCUUCUCAGUUUUGUAUGUUUAAUUUUUAGAGCCGUGGUUACUCUGAAAACUGAGAUGUGGAGAUUGCGGUAUUGAUCUUAGUUCAAUCCAUUCUAUUACGUAGCCUCGCUUUGUUAUCCAUGAUUUCCCUCAUUUGAUUGAUUUGACACAUGUUCAUUCACUAGAUUAUAGUCUACUUCGUGUAUUUAGUUCUAGGUUGUUUUGAUCUAAGUGGUACUUGAUUUCUUGGCAUUGUUCAUUGCCUCGAGCCAUGUCUGAUACUGAAUUUGACCAUGAUCCUCUUGUAGUAAAUAUGACUUAUUUGCUCUCUAUUGGAAUAUUUCUUUUCACAUAUUGCUAGCUCCUUAGGUGUAAUGUUGUUUAAAAUAUUUGUCCUGGAGCUCCUUUGCUCCUGUUCUUGGUGUAGAUAAACCAAAACUGCUCCUUUUAGGCCAUCCAAGAGUCUUAAACGACCAACAUUGUAAUUAGCAUAUGUGGACAGUUACGCUACAAUGCCCCCAAUUGUUUUUCAGUGAUAACUCUUGCUCCAAAUUUUGCUUUUCGGGAGGUGGUUGAGGUAGAGAUUGUUGUGUUGUGGCAGGGCACACUACGGUGCCGGGUUGCAUAGGGGCAUGCCCUUUCUUAGUAUUCAAAUAUCAUGUACUAAUUGUGUUUUCACUUUGUAUUGCUUACUCACAGAUGUCACCGGAAGCGUCAUGGUUUUUUCUUAAGCUCACCAAAUAUUUCUCUUCAUAUUUUGUAUGUCUGACAACUUCCCGUUACACAGUUCCGCUUUUGGCUGGACAAGCUGUCUACUCUCUGGUCUAUUCUUAAAUAGGCAUGUUGGUCUUUUCUAACAUAACCAGCCUGCCAUUUCUAUUACUCGCAGAACAUUUCACUUUCUGUCAAUAAGCAUUUAUCUCUAUGCUAACUUGGUGUAAAGUAGCCUUGAUGAUGUGUGGAGGCGGUCUGCUCAGUGUAAGAACAAAUAGUUGGUGGCUCCCAUUUUUAUCUCAUUUCGUAAAUCAGUGUAAGGACUGUUAGUAAGGUUGAUCAUCGGCAAGCGAAAGUGCUUCGUGGAUGCUUGCACGACCAAGCCCUUCAAGCUCCCAGAGUGCAAACACCAUGAGAUAGGGAUGUGAAACUGAAGGAAAGAAGGCCCUGACCACUCUCAUCAUUUACUCAAGUAAUAACACUUAUCGGCGAUAGGAACGACAAGUUGACGCAGGGACAGCUUUUGGGAGUUGGUCCAAACUUAAUGCAUUCAUGGGAUCACCAAUUUUUGGCGAUGGUUGAGAUUGGAUCGUUUCUUGGUGGCUGCUAAUGAAUCAUGUAAGGAUGGCGCAGAAUUCACCAGAGGAAAAAGACCGAACUACGGAGUUUCCCCAUUGUUAGAGCUCUUGGUGCCCGGACAAGCCCUCUAUCUCGAUUCUCCCUUCGCAGCUCAGCUCCACCGACCAGAUGGCGAUGGCUGACAAAGAGCUCGAUGUCCAUGGCUCGUCAGGUUCCGCUGGCUCCACUAACAACCGUCUACGGACGCUUGCACAGGAUACCAAGCGAGUGUUUAGGAUCCCACACCGGGCAUUUCUUGACAUGCUCCUAGCACACCUUACGCUAAUCACCGGCUUAGUAUGAUCGUGUUGUACAUGACGACGGCAAGAUUGUGUGACCAUCUUUUUCAACACCUCUACAUUGGAUCUUGGAGGACCAAUCAGUAUGAACGCGUCGUGUCGUCAUUCCUCCUGGUCUACAUUAUGCCCAAGACAUGCAAAGUUGUGGAUUGUCUGUAAGCUACCAUGUGCUUUUGUACGUCCUAUGCCUGUGAUAUUUGCUACUAAACCUAUUGUGCUACGUGCUUUCUAUGUUCAUACAUUGUUAGGUGGCUCCUUAUUGUGUGCAUACAAACAAACCUUACUUCUGAAUGAUUCUUUGUUAGUUUUUUAUUUUUAUCA